GUCAACAUACCCCUGGGGCACACUGUCCCCUCCUUUUCUACAGGCCUCUCAAUUGUCCCUUGGAAUUUUCCUUCCUUUGGAUCCACUUGUCUGCAGUUCAAGAGUCAGUGCAGAGGCCAGGACUCAGCAGCCUCCACUUAAGUGAAGCUGACCUUGCGUAUCCACCUGCCCCCACUUGCCACUACCUAUGAGUCUCCUUAACUUUCUUCCCACCACCGCUCACCCCCAUCUCAGUCCAAAGCAAGCUCAGAGACACACUGAAUAUUCUAUUCAUGGACACAUUCCCAGAGCCUGCCAAACCUCAGAAGUCAAACAACCACUCACAGAGCAAAGGAAAAUAUACACCAACACCAGAACCCAAUUCCCAAAGCUCUGUGAGCCCUGCUUUUUCAGUCUUCAAAAUAGGAGUGCAGGGCUCAGUGGGGAGAAUCCAUAUUCCCAGCUCCUUUUGCAGCUGAGGCAGGAGGAUCACUGGAGACAAUAGCCUAGGCAAGAGAGGAAGACCUCAUCUUAAAAAGCUAAAUGAUUUCAGCCCAGUACCACCUUGGUGGGAUAAGGGAGGUGCCCUGGUGACUUGAAUGGAGAGGCAGUAAGAUAGUCUUCUGUGGUAACUUUCCAUUAGACCACUGAGGUCAUUUAACACAGGAAAAACAACCCACCCUGGGACCCAAGCAUCUGGAAUGACCUGCUUUCAAUAGGAAAAGGUUGUACCCCUCAUAUCCCAAAAGGCUGUCUCCAUAGAAGUCUGUAAUGCCUGAGGCUGGGGAUUCCAAGAGUGUGCCCCCUGGCAGAAGGAGGGGUCCAGGGCUAGGAUUUGGACAGGGGGAGGGAGACUGUAAACACAGGCCUGCAUGUGGACUGGUGAAUCCCAACAAAGGCCAGGGAUGCAGUAGACAUUCUGGGACCACUGACUCUUUGAUGGUAGGACCUCUACCUGGCACAGUAGGAAGGAAGGAGGCUUGUGUCUGGUCACCAUCCUAAUGUGGUAGGGAGCAGGGUAUGGGUUAAAUUGCUUUGUGUUAAGGAGAGGGAACUUGGGGUUCUAGAAAGCCUGGGAAGCUCAGUCUGUCUUCCUUAUUUGAGAUGCUGCCAACCUCUUCCCAUAGGCUUAUUUGCAUAGUGUCAUGGUCUUGUAUCCUGUCCUACCCUGGCCCCAACACCAAAACUAGAGAAAUAACACCAGUAAAUAUUAGCCACUUUCCUCUCAUAAUCUGUUCCCUCAUGCGACCCCUUCCCCAAGACCCUCUGAUCCCUCCUUUCUGUGGUAGGCAGGUGCUGCAGGGACCAGCCCACCCUAGUGCAUAGUUCUCCAGCCUGGAUACUUAGCUGGAGUUGAAGUUCCCAUUGUUAGUACUGAUGCAUAUUUAUUGAACAUGUGGAUGUACUCAGCACUGUGUGAGGCACUGUCCAUACACCAGGUAGGUGAAUGUUAUACCCAUUUUACUGAUGGGUAACUGAGGCACUACAAUAUUUAUUUAAAGGUUGCACACCAACUCAACUAAGACUGCCUCCAGAGCCCUUGUCUCCUCACCUCUGUAGCAUCCCCACAAUGUUGCCCUGCCCACUGCUACAUCCUCAGGGAUGCAUCCCUGAGUCCUGGGCACACACAAAUGCGCCCAGGUUAUAGCUUUCUUCCUGAGGCUCCUGACUACAAAACUGGCUCCAUCUGGGGAAGCAGACACCAGAAAGCCAUGAGAGAGCAGCAGAGAGACAGAUAGAGGCACUCCAAAGGGUGAGAAGCAAAGGCCUGAGGUCUGGAUCAUUUGACUGGCACCACAAGACUCAGGUUCUGUCUAAACAUUUGCCCCUCAUCACUGCUGAGCAGAGGAGAAAGGGACUAAUAGAGCAGCUGAGGAACCGUCGAGUUCAGGGAGCUGGAAAUGCUGGCCCUGAAGCAGAAAGCCCUACCUCCAAUCCUUGCUUCAAUCUGGAGCCCUUGGCCACUGCUGGCCCACUGCAGAAGGUACAAAGCCAUCUGAGGAGCUCUUCACAGGGUCUCAGUCCAACCAUGUUGCAGCCACAUCUAAAUCAAGUCCCUUUUGUAGGGGUGGACCUUCUUCCAUAUCGAAACUCCAGUAUUGAUGGCAGGAUUGACUGACAGUGUGCACUAAGUCCCGCACAGCAUCUCUGGAUAUGUGACCCACGUGCUAUCUGUCCUCAGGACACUAUGGUGACCAGCUGCAGAGUAUGGGGUUCUAUCAGCUCAGAACGGACCAUUGGGUCUUAGCUUUGGUGUCUUGGUGAUAUGCCUGUCUGAGUCCACUGUGGUUCUGGUUCCUGGGCCAUCCUGGGGCACGCUGUUGGGUUUGGGAUGCUGAUGUGCAAUGAUGUCAGGUACAUGAUGGGAAGUGCAAAGUGAAAGGGCAUAGGAUAUGCACAUAGAAUUUUAAAAAAGCAGAGGAUUGACAGUCACCUUAGCUGGCGUCGCUGGUCCUACCAGAUCUGUGUGGUCUUCUGCAAUAUGCUAUCUGCACCAGCCUCUGGUCUACUUGCAGUUCAUCCCUUGCUUUAACCAGCACCUAUGGCGCCGGUUUCUGCCUUCUGCUCUUUGAGAAAGACAAGUCCGGUUUCUGCCUUCCACUCAUUGAGAAAAACAAGUCCUUGAGAAAAGCAAGUCCCUAUUUGGCUGUUCCUGCUUGGCCUGGUCGCUUCCGCAUAGUACAACCUAUCCGCUGUACCCACAUGGCUUGCUAGGAUUGGCUAGUGCUAGCUAUUUAAGUGUGGUUUGGGGAUUUCCCGGGGUCAGAAGAUUGUAUCAUGGUUCCUGAGUAAAUCUGCUUGAAGAUCUUCGCUGGUCGUGUCUUCCUUGCUGGUCGAGGUUGGGCGCGACACCUAUCUAUCUGACUAUGUCAGUUUGGCAUUUGAAUUUCAAAGAUCCUACAGUAAUGUUGCUCCAAGUAUCAGACAGUGAGUAAACUCUCAGUGAGGUGGAGCUGAGCAUGCAGACUCCGUGUAGAGCAAACCAUGUCUGAUGCCAGCAUGUAUCAGUUUCAGGCUAUUGCUGCUUGAGAGUUAGAGCAUGUGAACCUUGAACCUACUUAGGACUUUGAUGUUGAGUAGAAAGAAUGUUCAAAGUAGGCAGAUUUUAAAUCAGGACAAGUAUCAAAGAAAGCCUUGGCAUAAUGUGUUUGAUAGACUCCUCUGACUUCCUAGUAUGGAACUGUAGUAAACACAGCCUUUAUGACACGUUUGUGUGAGCACAAUCUGUGGCAGACCUUGCUUUAUUCCCAAGGAACCCAUACAGUGGGAAGAGCACAUCCUCAGUGAAGCACUGCAAAAGCCUUGAUCUCUUUAUGCAGGAAGAAGACUGGACUCACUUUCCUGUAUUUGACAGCACAUUUGUGUCCUAUUCAGGGAACAGAGAUGGUAUUUGGCAAAGUUGUUUGACCAAGCACAAGCUCCCAGCACGACUGACUCUGGAUCUGUGGGCUCAGAGCAGUAUUGUUGCCGAUGGAAAAAGGACUGAAGAGAGACGCACACACAUGCACCCCAGGAGCUGAGCACGGAACACUCGGGACUCACACAUCAUAAGUCGUGUCAACUUCCAGUGUCUUCCUGGCUGCCUUUGGAUCAAGAUGUAGAGCUCUGUGCUCCUCCAGCACCAUGUCUACCUGUACACUGCCAUAUUUCCUGCCAUGACAUUAAGGGACUGAACCAUUAAACUGGUAAGCCAGCCACAAUUAAAUGAUGUUCCUUUAUAAGCGUUGCCCUGGUCAUGGUGUUCCUUCAUAGCAGUCAAACCCUAAGAUAGCAGAUUAGAUACUAAAUGUUUAAAAUGCUAAAUGUUAUUUUUUCUUUCUCUUGUUAAUUUUUCUUUCUUUUGAUUUUUGAGAUAGAAUUUGUCCCUGUAGUCAAGCCUGGUGUAGAGCUGAUCAGAGUCCCAGUGCUAGAAGUAGAGCCCUGAACCACCAUGCACAGCUCUUUAAUUGUUUUAAGUAGCCUAAGCUAAUUUAAUUAAGCUUAGAAUUGAUAUUAAACACUGAGAGGACACGUGAGGUAUCUAAGCCAUAAUCAAAGAGCAAGAGAAGGAGACAACAUAAAAAAAAGCUUGAUACAAAAAGUAACAAGGUGUGCAAGCUGAACCAAACAAAACUAGUCCUUUGAUUGUUCAAAAUAAGUAACUAGGCAAAGAUAUUCCAGUAUUCUUUCCCAUGGGAAAAAAUUGUCUUCGGACAUUUAAAACACUGCUGAUAAUUUUAGGUUACAAAAUGAUAUAGAGGAGUCAGACCUGUUGGCUUUUGUUUAAUUCUCAAGAGAAAGAGAACUGCAGGGGCAGUGAAGAAAGAAUUCUUUUUUUUAAAAAAAAGAAAAAAAGGUAAAGGGAUUUGAGAGAUGACUCAGUAGGUAAGAGCCCUGGCUGUUCCCCCAGAUGACUGGGGUUUCAUUCUCAGCACCCAAAUGUCAGCACCCAGCUCUCUAGAACUCCAGUUCCAAGGGGUCUACUGCCCUCUUCUGGCUUCUGUGGGCACUGCAUGCAGGUGGUGCACAGACAUCCAUGAAAGCAGAACACCCAUACUUAGCAUAUUAGCUUUUGAAAUUUGGGCAGCUGGAAAGAUUAUGUGUAGCAAAUCAUGGUACUAUGUGCCUAGUACACUGGAGAUGGAGGCAGGAAAUCAUGAAUUAGUUCAGUUAAGCUACAGUGCAAGAUUCUCAUAGUAAAACAAGCAAAAGGGAUUAUAGGUCAAAAGAACUCCUUGGAAUUUAAUUUAAUCAUGUACUUUUUUAUUUCUAUCUUUUAAAAGAUUUUUCAACUAUUUUUAUUCUGUGUCUGUUCAAGCAUACAUGCCUGUGUACCGUCUAAUACAAUGCCCAUGGGUAGAAGAGGGUGACUUGAUCCCCUGAAAUUGGAGUUAGGUGUGGCUCUGAGUGUCCAAGUAGGUGCUGAGAACUUAACUAGGUUCUCUGCAAGGGCAGCAAGUGCUGUCUGCCACUGAGCCAUCUGUCUAGACUCCUGUUAUCUCUUUCUAAAAGGAAAAAGGAAAUUUACUGUAAUGACGAUGCUGUUAGACUGUAGACCUUUCCCAGGGACAGAAGGCUCUUGCAUCACAUCCCAAAUGCCUGCUUCAUAAAAAGAAGAAAUCACCAAAGAUUAUCAUCACAGCCUGGGAGUGGAGCCACCUCCGCACUUGGUGAAAAGGUCCAGCCCAGUUGUAGAGGGCCGCAAUAACAUUCGCCACCACAAGAUGGUGCUGGCUUCCACUGCGCCCCACGUGGAAAGCAGGGAUAGCUUUCUCCAUUACAAGAUGGGACUGGUCUCCGCCGGGCCAGCCGACUUCCUUUCAGGAAGUUAACUGUGUGCACAUGUGCAAGAGUGCCUUCGUGCCAGGUCUUUGCCCACUCCAGGGUGUGCCUAAUGAGAUCAUGGGUAAGCAACCAAUCAGGUGUGGAUGAGCCACACUAGGGUGUAUAUAAGCCGCUCCAUGCCAGCGCCCCUGGCCCCUCUCUUUAAGAUUCAAUAAACGUUUUAGCUGCAGUAGGAUUCGUGUGUCCCUGUGUGUUCUUGCUGGCGAGACGAUAGCAUGGGAUAUCUGGUGCCGGAAACCCAGGAAAGAAACGCCACACCAUCGCCAGGCACUGAGAGAGGAGUCCUCCGUCUGCGGAGGGAAUCCAGAACUGUAGUGAUUAAGGUAGGCUCUGAGAGAUAUGUUUGGUCUUGAUCUGUUCCACUUCUCUCCCCUGCUAGAAGAUGCGGCGGAAGUUUUUAUUAUCGUUUUAGCAGCCCUCGUGCUUUCUCUUUUGGUUUUUGGUUUUGUGGCUGCCACUAGGCACCGUCAGAGGUCGUGCCUAGAAGAUGGGAAAUGCCGCCCAACUGUGGUGGCGGGGCGGAGAGUGCUAGGGAAGUUACAAGGUAGCAUGUCAGAAACAGAGUGGGAUUAAAAAAUUAAAGAGCUCAAGGAGAAAAGAUAAAUAUAAGCAAAAAGGCCCUUCCAAGGACCUUGGAUGGGAGGAAGCGAGAGGUUGGGGAAAGAACGCCCCAGGAGAGAUGAAACAGAAAAAGGAGAAAAAAGUUUUGAAAAGGAGAAGUCUUUAUCCGGUAAAGGAGCUAGAGUCUUCAGAGCUUGAUAGCUCAGAGACAGACGAGCUUAGCUCCUCUGAGGAAGAGGAUUUAAAAGAUGAGGCAGCUCGCUAUGAAGAAGAGCUUCACAGAGUCAUACUGAUCAGAUUUUAUAGAGGUAGACCGCCUGAAAAUUUAUUCAGGAGAAUCAAACAAAAGGACAUCUCAAUGCCCAUGCACAGCUUGAUGGAGUUAAUGUAAUUGGGUUGUGAGUGGAAAUAUUCAGGACUGUGUUUCACUUCCAUACCAUUUGUGAAUGUCAGUCGUGCUGCUCAGAUAUCCUGUAAUAUAUCUCAGUAUCUUACAGGAAUUUGGUUUCAACACGUUGAUGGACUAGUCCAGGAAUUGAGACAAUCCAUCGUCCAUAUCAACUCCACUAGAGUGGAUAGUCACCGUGGAAGUGGUGGGAAAGGGGAAAUCCUACCUCUCUGCAGACACCAUCUAGUUUUUCCUCUUUGUCUAUUGUCUGUCCUUGGUGCACCAAGCUGUCCGUGUAUGUCAGUUUAUGUCUGUGGUUUUUGUUUCUUGUUGCUUAAAUGUUUUAUGUUUCAUGUUCAAAAGAGAAAAUGGUAAAAACUUUAUCUGCCAGUCGUUCACAUCUUGAUUUGAUUUUAACUCGUUUCAAAAAAGGAACAAGUGAAUAAAAAGCAGUUUCAAUCAGUCCUUGGAGCCCUGUAUCUGUAGCCAGGUGUCUAGGUCAGCUGGAGAAGCUGUGCAGGAGUGAGCGUCUACAUGAGCUGAUUAUUUGACUCAACAGGUGACUAGGUGCUUCUCUUAAAAUCAUAGCUAAAAAGGUAAAAAUGGUGCUUGGUCUAAAUAUUAAAGAUAUGCGUAGCCACUUCAAUUUUGUUUCUCAUUGGUUUUAAAUGUAUAAAUAUGCUCUACAUGCCUUGGUUAUGGACUAUUGGCUUUUAAGUUAUUGGAUAUGGUUAAAAAGGUAUAAUAUUGGUAACAGAAAGUUGACAUAAAGCUGGUAAUUUGGAUAAAGUCAUUCUAGACAACAUGUGGCAUGAGCCAACCUAGGGAAACAGGUCUAAAUUGAGAUAAUAUUUUUAUGGAAUUCUUACUCUAGAAACCAGGCUUCUAAAAGAAUUUAGGGCAAUGUCUCUUUGUUGAGGUAUUAGAGACCGCACCAUCGUGCAUUCAUAUGUAGGAAAUGGCAGUCAAACUUUGUAGCAUGAAGUACUAAGUACUAAGUACUGUUCCUUUGUAGGUCAUUUGGGAGCUCAAACUGGAUUGCCUGGACCCCUUAGCAAGGGAGGACAAUGAUACCAGGCAGAUUAUAGGCCUUACAUAGAAGCAAUUAGUCAAAAAAAAAUCUCAUUCUUUAUAUAUCCAAAACAAUAAUGCUAGAGAAAAUAAUUUGGUAUACAAGUCAAUUUAUAAAUACGAGUGCUCAGUGUCCUCAAAUUAAUCCUCGAGGACUUACCUUAAUAAAUAAUAUCUUUACUAUAUCUUAAUAAAUAAAAAGGGGGAGUUAUCCCUGUAUGCUAAAUAAUGCUCCUUUUAUUUCAAUUUUAAAAUUUGGGUGCCAAGGAACACUCUGAGUGUUUAUGGCACCCUACAACUAGGCAUAAUUCUGCCUAGGUGAAAUAGAAAGAUCCACAUAUUGGCAUGAUCCUGUUCAGAUAUUUUAUGUGGGGAAGAGGGAAUUUUUGUGUUUUUUCUACAGGAUGCUGCAAGAGUAUGCCAGCUGCCAGAGGUGGUUGCUGAGACUUGCUGAUCCUGGGAGCCUGAAGAUUCAGCUCUCGUGGUUCGGGUCCCUGGAGUCAUUCCUCUGCCCUGAGAGGAAGGUGGAAGAUUCCCACUCAUCUUUUGUCAUCACAGAGAUUUUGGCGUUGCUGCAGUCAGUGUUACUGGUGCGUGUGUCCCGUCCCACUGUGGCCUGCUCUCUGACCCUCUGUGCACUGCUGCUUUCUGGAGAAGACUGGACUCCAGCCGUUGCUGCCCUCCUCAUUCCCCUGGUGACUCUUGCUGCCUUAACUGGUGUUGUCAUUUUGUAGUCUAUAGCUUCACAGGAAUGCCACCUGGGUAAAGCUGCUGUGGACUGGGGAACUCUGCCCUGGUUAUGCAGAUCUCAGACAUAGUUCCAUUGUUUGCUGGUUGUUCCAGAGAAGAAUGACCAAUCCUAAACUGUCCUGGGAAAGACCUUGUUACUUUCACUGCUAUUGUAGCAGCCAUUUACUGCUAUAGCCAUUGUGUCUGCAGUGUCUGGAGUUACCCUCCCCCCAAUCUAUUUUUAGGCAAGCACAGUGGGUGAACUUUCUGGAGUAGUUGCUGACAAUUGGGAUUUCUAAAUUGUAUUAUAGGAGCGGCUUGACUACGGCCCUUGGUGGUAACAGCUGAGGUGAACCGGAUGAGGUGCCCACUACUUAUCGGGGGUGGCUCUGUUUGGUGCAGCCCUAUGCUGUGGAUUAGUGUUCAUGCUAUGGUUGGUUUGCAAACUCAGAUCUCAACAGAAACAUGACAAGGUCGUUGUCACUCAAGCACUUGUGGCCAUUGAACAAGGGGCCUCCCCUAGAAUUUGGUUAUCUAUGCUCAAGAAAUAGUCGACAUCUGAGUUCUCUGCUCUUGCACCCCAUGGAUCUGUGGAUCCAUUGCACUGGGAUGAGAGAGACUCAAUGAUUCUUUGAUCAGCCCUUCUACAUCGCUGAUGUUUCCUCAUUGCACGCAAUAGGGUGAUCAUGAUUUCCCCACCAACUCAUUUUCUGGCUGGCCUCUUUUUAGAGUUCGCCCUAGGUCAUUUAACAGUUACUGUCACACAGCACUGCGGUAUCCAGAGACGGGCAACUUUCCUCAUGCACAGACCAAUCUAAGACACGGGGCCCAGUGGCGAUAGGGUUACCCUUCGACGGAUAAGGCUGUGACAUAGAGGAACGACCUAAGACAGGAGCCACAGCAGAUGGACGUAACUGCAGGGACCUAGACCAGCCUAGACAAUAAUUUAUUGUUAUUAAUAAAACAAUAAGGGGGAGAGGAUGUCCCGUGCUAUCUUCUCGCCAGCAAGAACACGCGGGGACACACAAAUCCUACUGCAGCUAAAACGUUUAUUGAAUCUUAAAGAGAGGGGCCAGGGGUGCCGGCAUGGCGCGGCUUAUAUACACCCUAGCCGCAGCGCAUCCACACCUGAUUGGUCGCUUACCCAUGAUCUCAUUAGGCACGCCCCGGAGUGGGCAAAGACCUGGCACAAAGGCACUCUUGCACAUGUGCACACAGUUAACUUCCUGAAAGGAAGUUGGCUGGCGCGGCGGAGGCCAGCGCCAUCUUGUAAUGGAGAAAGCUAUCCCGGCUUUCCACGUGGGGCACAGUGGAAGCCAGCACCAUCUUGUGGUGGCGAAUGUUAUUGCGGCCCUCUACACCCAGUGACCUCUCAAACCUCAACCUGCUUAGGAGUCAUCUGCCAGUGUAAAGUUCCAAAACUGGGAAGCAAGACUUUAGCGCUCCUAGGAGUUCCCAGGUCAGGCAGUGCAAGGCCCACCCAGAAGAGGCCAAUCUUCCCCAGUCACCACCUGGUUUACACAGGCUCUUUCCCACGAUGAAACAAAGCCAGGAAUGGCUCUCAGCUCAGUCCUAUCACUGCACACAGGGCACAACAGCUGGGCCUCAUCUAAGAUCUUAGGACUGCUGUCGUUCCUGGGUUAUUUCAUUUGCUGAUAAUUUGUCCUUGUCCUCUAAUAGAGAACAGAUUGCAGAAUUAGUUAGAGCAUGGAUGCAAUGGCAGCCAUUUUCCAGUGGGGUUAAUAGGAUAGAAUUUGUGACUUCCCUGAGAAUGCUAUUUGAGGGCAGGGGCUUUGGAUUUCUUCUCAGCAGUAUCCUUAGCUGCUAGAGAGAGUAGAGCCUUCCUGAACAAUCAGAGAGAGAGAGAUGUAAUAUUUGCCGUGUGUGUGUGUGUGUGUGUGUGUGUGUGUGUGUGUGUGUGUGUUUGUCCCUCAAGGGGCAAUGAGGGACAGGGGUAAAACUUGGGUACCACAGACCACUUCAAGGCCACUUCCAAUCCUAGCUUAGCUGUAGGAUUUUGCAGGGCACAAACACCAGAGCGAAUGUUCCUCAUGAAGUUCUAGGUAGGUACAUAAAAUCAGAGCAGGGGACAUAGUAGAGGGCAGAUCAACAAAAUCCAGAGUCCCCAACCCCCAAACCCUCAAUCCUAUAAGGGAAUGUGGUGAGUUGCCAAAGCAGAGAACUCAGAAGCAAAUAUCAAAGCCAGGAAGCACAGCCAGGAAUCCCAGACCAGAAAGAUGAAGAGAGAGAGCAAGUGGGUAGAUCACAGCUUAGAGGGGCCCAGGCCAACCGGGAGCAGGCAUUGGAAGCUUGCUUUAAUGUGCUUCCAGAGCCAAGAUGGGGUGGGCGAGUCAAGGUUACUGGGGCCAUGGAGGCUGGACAGAAUGGGAUUUCUGGGUCUUCUUGCUCCCCCGAGCAGAACCUGGAAAAAUAGUAUGAGGAGGUAGAAGCCAUACGGCCGUCUGCAAAGGGGGUGAGAACCUGGAUAUUCAGCCUGGAUCCAGGACUCAGUGUCUGCACUGUCACCAAAGAGCUGGCAUACACCUGCCUCAGUGUCCCUGGCAGGACUCAGGCUAGGUUUCAAGAAAGACUGGAAAGAAUCCCACUAAGUCUGCACCAUCCCUUCUGUGUUACAGGGUGGUAGCACAUAUUUGAAAUCCCAAUCUUUGCCACAGUCCGGGGUUAAAUUUCAUCCUUCACUAAAUCGUGAGUUUGACGCCAACCUGAGCUCUGUGAAAUCCUAUCUCGAAGCAAUGUUACUAAAGCAAAAAGGCAGAAUGAAAGCAUUAUGACAAAGUUCUAACUCCCAGCUUGGCCUUGUGGGUACAGGAUGGAAAAAAAACACAAACAUUAAUCUUUUCAAAAUUGUAUUUAAAAAAUAAAUAAAGUCUGACACUCAAAAGACUCAGGCAGUCAUCUGAGGACUUCCAAUUCCUUCUAGAAUGUGCUCCCUGACUGCCAGCGGGAUAAGUUUCCCUCCAAUGGAGCUGGUCAUCCGCUGUUGUCUUCUCCUGCAGUUCCACAGCCUCCUGGGCAACACAUCAUCCUUACAGCAGUGGAGUUACUUUACCCACAAGGUGACUGCUCUGAGGCAGAAGGUUUGCAGUGUAUUUUCAAGGUAUGUUUUUUGGCUAGUGUGAUAAAACACCAAAGAGAAGCAAGGUGUGGUUUGUGAGAAUCCCGUAUGUUGAGGGAGAUAAGGUAAGGUUACAGAAAGGGCUCUCACCAGAGGCAGUGGAACAGGUGGUCCAGCUCGGUCACCUCUACAUAGAUCAAUACACAGAGAGCUCAGGAUGGAACUGUGCUGGAUUGUAAUGUUCAAGCCUUGCUCUGAAACCUUCCAUAGCAGUGUCUCUAGCUGGGGACCAAGUGUUCAAACACACGGGCUUGUAGGGACAUCACACACUGAGUCCACAAUGCUAGAGUUGAGGUUAGUCACUGCUCUCACAGCCUCUUCAUCUGUGAAAAGAUCGUCUGUAGGAGCACAGUGCAGCUGUGAACAUGGAGCUUGAAAAUGUUUUAGAAGGGUUUUGUAAACUGAAGUGCAAGGAGGAACAGAGCAUGGCGGCGGAUGCCUGUCACAGAAGCCUUUGUUAUGCUGAGACAGGGUGGCAACUUUUGUCCCAAAUGUGUAGAUAGAUAUUGUCGUCAUGGUCAACAUCAUCAUCAUCACCUCCUUUUGCCUUAACUGUGUUUCCUCCAAAUUUUCUACUAGAUUGAAUGAUGUUGUAGAUUAGAAUUAAGUUUGACCCUAAUUCCAAAACAGUAUCAGGUCAUUCCAUAAUGAAAUGACUUAAACAUGAAAAAUGUAUUUCACAUAAAAUCUAUGAGAACAGUGUAACACUGUGGUCUUUCUGCUAUGUCCUGAGACAUGAGAUCAUCUAAGAUCAUCUCACAGUCCAGUGUAGUUACACUGCUACAUAGUCACACUACAUCCCGCCAUUACACCAUUCUCCCUACAAUUCCUUAGAACAAAGUACGUGCCCCUCCCUCUUAGGAAAUCUUUCUUCUUCUUACCUCCACUAGCCAAACAAUGGAAGCUGGGAAACAUGGUUUAUUCUGUCUAAAUAAAAAAAUGUGUCUGGUCCUCUUACUUGUAAGGGAGACAGGGGUCUCUACAUAGGUGGUCUCUUCUCCAUCCUCAUCUUCGUCUCUCUCAUCUCCCUCUGAAUAGCAGCAGCUGACCUCUGCUGACCCUAAAACCUUUUUGCUUUACCACUGAGAACCAAUCACACUCCUGCUUCUCCUCUUCUUUCUGUAAAUGUACCAUGUCUCAGCACAGGGCUGACCACGGCUUCUCUUCUCAGCCCCAACUCUCCUCUCAGUCAUGGCCCCAACUCCCAACCCAAAUAAGAACCUGCUGUCCUUCCUGAGUCUGGUCCAGGGAGGAACGUGUCCACUAAAGGGCAGGCCCAUGCAUCCAGGCAAGGCCCAUGCAUCCCUGCUCAGGACCAGGAGACAAGGGAGAAAGUGCAGCAGGUUCAUCAGGCAACAGGCCCCUCUGAAGCCCAGACUAGGUUGGUUUAACACAGUAGAGUGGUUGUUCUGAGUAAAGUGCCUGGUCUUGCUGUGGAACCAUGGCCAGCCUCCUAGUGUGCCCUUUCCAAGAGCAUUCUAACUCUUCAGUGCUGAGUUCAGUUCCUGCUCCCAUAGGCUUGGUUCUGCAGGGCCUGUUCCAGUGCUUACCUGCCCUGCGUGCACCUCUGGUCUGUGUGCUCCAGUGCACACCUGCCCUAUGUGCACCGAUGGUUUUUGUGCUCUGUAACAGGCGCAGAACUCCAUUCCUGCACAAAACAAAUCACAUGAGCACAGACAUCUGUGUUUUAGCAGAUUUCACUGAAGACUGAAGAGAUGAAUUUACAUAGAAAAAAUACAAAAAUCAUAAAAUUGAAUAUUAGAUUUCUGUACAGUCUAAAGAAGGACUCCAUUCCCAGUCCCUGGGUUCUGGCUGUCGAAGAAGGCACACGCCUAACUGUGCCCUUUUUAAUUCUCAAAGUCUAUAUACAAAAGCCAAUUCAUAGACAAUUUUUGAAAAUAUUUAUUUCAGAGAUUAGGCUCCACAGUGUAAGUCAUGGUGGUGUCAUUCUGCUUCUUGGGGUCAGGGGUUGGGAAUAGAGAGGAUCACAUCUGUGGAGCAAGGUGCUUGGCUGGGCAGAUCAGUUAGCUACAUUCUAUAAAGAGUCAAGCUUUUGGGGUAAAAGGCAUUUUCUUUUUGAUCUGUAAGAUGGGCUAUCUGAGGUGCCACUGACCCCUGCUACUACAGCUCUAAGAGGUUUUCAGCAGAGGGUCAGUCCCAGGUGGCCAUCAGGUAGAAACCCUGGGGGAAGCUCCCACUCUUCUGUUGUUUCUCUUCUAUGCCUGGGUGCCCAGAUAGUGUUUACACUGCUCUAGGGAAAAGGUCCCAAGCUCCCAGGUCCCAGGCUUCCCUCAGUCCUCUAUCCUCUGCCAUCUGACUCUGUCCCUAGUCUGGGAAAGACUGCGUGCACCAGAGACUAGGGACACAAGCUGUAUUGCAGAUGUCCAGGACACAAACAUUUGUACACAUGCAUACAUAGGGGUUGUUCUCCCUCUCUCUCUCUCUCCCUCUCUCUUUUGCUGUGUGUGUGUGUAUGUGUGUUUAUGUGUUUGUGUUUAUUCUGUUUCCUUUUGUGUGUACGCGUUUUUUUGUGUUGGGUCAGGGCAGAGUGUGGGUGGGGUGGGCACACUCUUCCCAUUCCUGUGACAUGUUGCUGGCACAAUCUGCUGAAGUAGUGUGACACCCUGUGAGGCAAAAGACCUCUCUCCUGUCCUUACAGCCAUUUCUGACAUUUCCUGCCUAACUAGAUAACACAUGGAGAUUUCCACUCCCAGGACGGAGGGGGCUCUCUUCCUAGGACUUUGGGGACCCUUGCUCAUCUCACCAGCUCAAUGAUUCAGGUGGCCCUGCCACCUCCACUCUCUUUUGCCUUUUGACUGGUUGCCAAUUGGAACAGAUCCAGAAAACAGUUUCCACCCCCAGACGCCCAUGGGAGAAGGCUGGAUGGGUUUGUACCCCUCAACAGUUCCAACUGCUCCUCUGCACAAACCCAAUGCUCCAGAGCUUUCCUCUAGAAAUAGCAUCAAAAGAAUGUACUCCCUUGCUUAACACGCCAAGUUCUAAGUAGCAUCCUAAGAGCAUUCCAAAGUGCACAUCUACAGGGGAGUGCAGGGGACAAAAAGGACUGAACUGCCUGCAUUCCAUCCUGGCCUGUUAGCUAAGGGUAAGUCCAACCUGGGUCAGUCAGCAUACCCCUGGGGCACACCGGACCCUCCCUUUCUAUAGGCCUCUCAAAUCUCCCUUGGAAUGUUCCUUCCUUUGGAUCCACUUGUCUGCAGUUCAAGACAAGUGGAUCCAAAGGAAGUGGAUCCCCCCUUCCCCCACUUUCCAUUUCCUAUGAGUCUCCUUAACUUGGUUCCAACCACCCCUCAUUCCCACCUCAAUCCAAAGCAAGCUCAGAGCCACCCUGACUAUUCUGUUCAUGGACAUAUUCCCAGAGCCUGCCACACCUCAGAAGUCAACCAACCAAUCACAAAGCAAAGGAAAAAACACACCAACACCAGAACCCAAUUCCCAAAGCUCUGUGAGCCCUGCUUUUUCAGUCUUCAAAAUAGGAGUGCAAGGUUCAAUGUGGAGAACCCAUAGUCCCAGCUCCUUGUGAAGCUGAGGCAGGACGAUCACUGGAGAGAAUAGCCCAGGCAAGAGAGGAAGACCUCGUCUUAAAAAGCUAAAUGUUUUCAGCCCAGUAUCAGCUUGGUGGGAUAAGGGAGGUUCCCUGUUGACUUGAAUGGAGAGGCAGUAAGAUAGUCUUCUAUGGUAACUUUCCAUUAUACCACUGAGGUCAGUUAACACAGGAAAAACAACCCACCCUGGGGCCCAAACAUCUGGACUGACCUGCUUCCAAUAGGAAAAUGUUGUACCCCUCAUAUCCCAAGAGGCUGACUCCAUAGAAGUCUGAAAUGUCUGGGGCUGGUGCUUCCAAGAGUGUGCUCCCGGGCAGUGGGAGGGGUCCAGGGCUAGGAUUUGAACAGGGGGCGGGAGACUGCAAACACAGGUCUGCAUGUGGACUGGUGAAUCCUGGACAAAGGCCCGGGAUGCAGUAGACAUUCUGGGACCUCUGACCCUGUUUGAUGGCAGGACCGCUACCUGGCACAGUAAGAAGAAAGGAGGCUUUUGUCUGGUCACCAUCCUAAUGUGGUAGGGAGCAGGAUAUGGGUUAAAUUGCUUUGUGUUAAGGAGAGGGUACUUGGGGUUCCAGAAAGACUGGUUAGCUCAGUCUGUCUUCCUCAUCUGAGAUGCUGCCAACCUCCUCCCAUAGGCUUAUUUGCAUAUUGUAAUGGUUGCUUAGCCUGUUUCCAACCCUGGCUCCAACACCAAAACCACAGAAAUAACACCAGUCAAUAUUAGCCACUUCCCUCUCAUAAUCUGUUCCCUCAUGCUACCUCUUCCCUGAGACCCUCUCAUCCCUCCUCUCUGUGAUAGGCAGGUGCUGCAGGGACCAGCCCAUCCUGGUGCAUAGUUCUCCAGCCUGGAUACUUAGCUGGAGUUGAAGUUCCCAUUGUUAGUACCUGUAGGGAGCCGGAUUGGAUUUGGGCCUGGCUGUUUUGUGACUGUAUAGCUCAAAGUGGCUACAUGACUCUUGGCCACACAUACUCCUCUAUUAUGACUGCCAUAAAGCCUCGAGAUUGUGGGACAAAAGCCUCUCCCAUGAAUUUACGGCACAGGAAGAUAAUAUUCACGGGAUGCUUCAGCCUAAGCAAAAAUCAGUUAUCUCCUGAGUCAACACCCGGUGUAUCCACUGCCUGACCUCAUCGUCUACCGCCUGACCUCUUUGCCUCCAGCUAUCACUGCCUAUAUCCUCAUCUCCCCCUCCUCUGUGUUUCACAAAGGUCACUUCCCCUACCUGAAAGCCUUAAAAGCUGUAACGUUCAUCCCAAUAAACGAGACCUUGACAAUAGAAUCUUGCUUGGUCUUCUUCUUCUCUCGGCCCCCAUAGGCCUAAGGGUACCGCACCUUCGGAACCCUGAAUAACUGGGUCCCCACUGGCAGGGACAAUACCGAUGCAUAUUUAUUGAACAUGUGGAUGUGCUCACCACUGUGUGAGGCACUGUCCAUACACCAGGUAGGUGAAUGUUAUACCCAUUUUACUGAUGGGGUAACUGAGGCACUACACCAUUUUUUAAAGGUUGCACACCAAAGUCAACCUAAACUAACUCCAGAGACCUUGUCGUCUCACCUCUGUAGCAUCCCCAUAAUGUCAUCCUCCCCACUGCUACAUCCUCACAGAUGAUUCUCUGAGUCCUGGACACACACAAACACACCCAGGUUAUGGCUUUUUUCCUGAGGCUCCUGACUACAAGAACUCGCUCCAAGUGGAGAAGCAGACACCAGAAAGCCUUGAGAGGACAGGGAGAGACAGAUCCAGGCCCUCCAGAGGGUGAGAAGCAAAGGGCUAAGGUUUGGAUCAUUUGACUGGCACCACAAGACUCAGGUACUGUACAAAUAUUCUCCCCUUCACAGGGCUGAGCAGAGGAGAAAGGGACUAAUGGAGCAGCUGAGGAACCCGUCGAGUUCAGGGAGCUGGAAAUGCUUGUCCUGAAGCAGAAAGCCCUACCUCCAAGCCUUGCUUCAAUCUGGAGUCCCUGCCCCCUGCUGGGCCACUGCAGAAGGUACAAAGCCAUCUGAGGAGCUCUUCACAGGGUCUCAGUCCAACCAUGUUGUAGCCACAUCUAAAUCAAGCCCCUUUUGUAGGCGUGGACCUUCUUCCAUAUCCAAAUUCUGGUAUCGAUGGCAAGAUUUACUGACAGUGUGCAUUAAGUCCUGCACAGCAUCUCUGGGUGUGUGACCCACGUGCUUUCUGUCCUCAGGAAACUAUUGUGGCCAGCAUCAGCGUAUUGGGUUCUAGCAGCUCAGAACAGACCACUGCGUCUUGAGCUUUGGUGUCUUGGUGAUAUGCCUGGCUGAGUCCACUGGGGUUCUGGUUCCUGGGCCAUCCUGGGGCAUCUCAGGGUAUCCUUCCAGCUUGCCUCCUGGUGCCCCCUUCUCCCAUGCCCUUCUGGGUUCAUACAGGCUAAACCAGCUCCUCUGAAAAUGCUUGAUACCUUGGGUUUAUUGGGGGUUGAGCACUACGAGAUCAGGCAGUUUGCCUCUGGUAAGAAGAGAACUGGCAACUCUGCUUGGUUCUCCUGGCUCUUUUGGGGGCUGUCCCUGAAGGAUCCCUCCCAGGUACCCAUUUCCUUGACUUUCCCCGCACCAUUGUUCUCUGAGUCUCUCAUUCUUUCACCAGGCGGUAGAUGUGGUGCUGAGCCCAGUGUUCGCUUGUUGGCAGUGGCAGAUACCAAGUCAUCUCACUGACACAUUCUUUUGUAUUUCAAUUAAGGAAUUCUUUUACACAUCUGCGUGUGUGUGUGUGUGUGUGUGUGUGUGUGUGUGUGUGUGUGUGUGUGUGUAAGUGUGUAAACAUGUACUUACCUUGCUGGGUUGGCCUGAUAUUGUUUGACAGGAUUUCAUGGUUUCUAACUCCACCCAUUUUCCUACAAAUGAAUUAGAGAAGUCUGAUUCUUUGUCUGCUCUUGCUUUCCCAAGACAAGGUCUUGCUUUUAGGAGGACACCCUGGACCUCUCCAUGUAGACCAGCCUGUCCCCUAAGUGCCAAGAUAAAAGGUGAGUGCUACCACUGCUUGGCAACACCAAUUCUCCUUCAUUUUACCCUAAGCAAUACAAUGGUAAAAACAAAGACUCAGGGUUUGUUUCUUUGUUUCUUUGCUUGUUUAUUUGAGAUUGUGUUUCUCUGUGUAGCCCUGGCUGUCCUGGAUUUUGCUCUGUAGAUGAGGGGCUAUCAAGCACUGGGAUUUAAGGUGUGUUCUACCACUGCCCAGGAGAAGAAUGGUUUUUCCGUGAGACUUCUUCACUUACCACACAACACAGAGGGGAAUGCCACAUGAACCAGAGUGCAUGCUGUGAAUUGACAAUCCUGAUGCAGGUUCUGAGACCUACAACUCUGGUGCAGAAACCAGGAAGGUCUGGGUAGGGAGUUGGGCACAAGUGAGAAACAGUCUUACACCACUAGGUGACACUCAAGUACCAGUUUUCUUUCCUUUGGCACCUAUUUCUACAGUGAAAUCUUGUGUAAGGUGAUAAGGGGAUGUUAAGUAUGCUGUAAUUAAGAUGGCAUGGAAGACAGAUUACACACACAAAGAGAGCGAGAGCGAGAGCGAGAGCGAGAGCGAGAGCGAGAGCGAGAGCGAGAGCGAGAGCGAGAGCGAGAGCGAGAGCGAGAGCGAGAGCGAGAGAGAGAGAGAGACUGCUGAGAAGGGCUAACCGUCGCCAUUUUGGAUGAACAGAACUUGUGAGUGAGGACACAGUCAUGCACAGAAGGAGAGAUAUUGUUUGCGGUGUCUGCGCUAUGCAUGGUUUACAUGGAGCUGUUCAGUAGGAGGAAGGAAAGCAAACAAUCCCAGCAGCAUCCAAGCCGAUGCUUAGCCUCUGAGACAAACCGUCCCCUAACUAAACGCUCUCCAUUCCCAACCCAGGACAGCGGCAGUCUCCCCCUGUGACCAUCAUAAUGCUGGGGGAAGGAAGGACAGCUGCAGGGUGUGCAGCAAGGCAGGAAGAGCAACCGUGAGUCCUGGAGGAUGUGGGUCAUCCACGGCUCAAGGUCUUCCUGUGACAAAUGAAGUGAGCAGGGACCUGAACCCAGGCAGGCUUUCUCCCACAUUCUCUAAGUCGUGUGAGCACCCCGGGAGACUGAGUAUGCCAGACUGGUCUGAAAACACAGAGACAGUGUGUGAGCUUAGGUUAUGCUGUGACUAGCACAGAGCAGAAAUGUUGCCCACCAAUCGGCAAGAAAGCAAAACAGUUAUGAAUCUGAAUGACCUGGAAAGGGACUGAAGGCAGAGCUAUGGUGACAAAUCUCAAAUGACAGACAUGGGGUCACAGGGAUCUGACCAGUGUUACCCUCAUCAACCACACCAGACAGACCCUUGUGGUGUCUUUGCUUGAACUAAGAUCUUGCUGUAUAUUCCAGGCUGACCUCAACCUUCAUUCCUUUGACUUCAGCCUCCUGAGUACUAGAAUUACAGAAGUCAUGCACCUAAUUUAUUACCUUUGACGAUACUUUAUAUACAUAUAUAUGUAUUAGAAACCUAUACAUUAUAUAAUAUUAUAUAUAUUACAUGUAUUAUGUUUGCAUGUGUGUGGAAUGGUGUGUGUGUGUAUGUGUGUUUGUGUUUGUGUGUGUGCAUAAUGUCUUCCAAGCCACCUUCAUCACAGCAUAAUUAGCACUCCCUUGUCAACUUACACAAAGGUUUUGUUGUGUUGUACUAUGUGCAUGGCUAAGUCAGAGGACAACUUGCAUGAGUAAAUUUUCUCCUUCAAAUAUGUGUGUUCUAGGAGUUGAACUUAAAUCAUCAGGCUUAAUGGCAAGCACUUUUGCUUAGUUAGCCAUAUUGCUGGCCCUUAUGAUAGAUAUCUUUGAAAUCAACUCACUUAUCUUUUUCUUUUUUCUUUAUUCCUUAUUUACCUUAGCAAUGCAAUCAUGAAAACAAGAACUCUGGCUCCUUUGUUAUUUGAUUUGGUUGAGACAAGGCUUCUCUGUGUAUUCUUGGUUCUCCGGGAACUCACUGUGCAGACCAGUCUGACCUCGGACUCAGAGACUAAAGGCAUAAGCCACCACACCCAGUUUGUUUAUAAGCAAAUUAACUAUUAGAUAAGAUAUGUCAGUAGAUGUAGUAUUUAUAAGACAUCCCCAUGUACCACGCUGGGAAGACCCAACACCAAAGAACCUCUCAGGCUACACACAAAGGCAGCCUGCUCCUGUCUCUCCAGCCUCUGCUCAUGUGACUUGCUCAGAGGAAGGCCCUUGGGGACUAGAACUCUGCUCUUGACAAAUCUUACUCAGUACCCGCACACCAGGCCUGGUACAUAGCUAUUACACUUUUCAACUCUGGGUGGCGCUUUGACAAAAGUCAAGCCCCUCAGUAUAAUACAUAUCAUGUGUACAUAUAUCUUACACAGAAACAUAUAUAUACACGCAUAUAUACACACAUACGUGUGUGUGUGUGUGUGUGUGUGUGUGUGUGUAUAGUACAUAGGUAUUGGGAGCGGCUAAAGAUGGCGCUGACAUCUAGUGGUUGUUUGUGGUAUACAACCAUUAAGCCGUGUCUUUGGCCUUCCUCUGGCACUUACAAGGCCAGGGUGAUAUGCAUGCUAAUAAGGUAUCUCAUACUCCACCAAUCCCCAGAGGACAAGUUUACAGCCACUGUCUGUCUUGUACUUAAGGCCUUUGUUCCCCGGGGUCCCCCAUAUCAAGAAUGAGGUGUUCCUGCAAUAAAGGCUGUUGAGAAGAACCCAACAGUGUUGCGUCUUCCUUGCUGGUCGAGGUGGGUGCAACAACUGGUGGCCAUGUACGGAGACCCGAGACAAUUCUCUUUUCUCGUGUGGGUUCAGAACUUUCCAGCCUCAGGACUGCUACGUCACUAAGUUCCCGGAUGGGACAAUAAGGCUCCCGGAUAGGGGACUAUAAGGCUCCCGGAUAGGGGAUGAUAAGGCUCCUGGAUAGGGGCCAAUAAAGCUCCUGGAUAAGGGAAUAUAGAAUUCCCUAAUAGGACAAUAAGGUUCUCUGGAGUAAGCAGAGACGAUGAAAGCCUUGGUUUAGAGGUUAAAAAGUCUGUGGUCUAGGAUUUGUAAUUUUGUUUCUUCUUUGUGUGGUGAAUUUGUUUUUCUUUUGAAUUGCUACCACCCUGGGCAUGAGUGCAUUUUCUGGGAAGAGCCCACUAAUGAUGAGGUACAAGAUCGUGUGUAAAUAAACACGCCAGCUCGCCCUGCUCGUAAAUCGAUCAUAAAUAAGGUCGUAAAGCAUGGGAAACUCACACUCCACCCCGCUCCUGUCAGCUCUUCAGGAGCUUCUUGGUCAGCAUAAGCUUAAAAUCGAAAAGAAAGUCCUGUUGAGAUUUUCUGAUGAAUGUAAUUGUUGUGCUCCGCGGUUUAUAGUGUCAGGGUCGCUCACUUUAAUCGCGUGGGACAAAUUAGGAAAAGAUCUGGAUAGGGAAACUACAGAGGGCAAGCUUAAACCAGGGACAAAGCC